GUGCUUGCUUUAGCAGCACACAUACUAAAAUUGGAACAGUACAGAGAAGACUAGCAUCGUCCCUGCACAAGGAUGGUAUGCAAAUCAUCAAUAUUUUUGUUUUU